rnacentral:rRNA from 1 species
CCUACGGGAGACAGCAGUGGGGAAUAUUGGGCAAUGGGCGCAAGCCUGACCCAGCAACGCCGCGUGAAGGAAGAAGGCUUUCGGGUUGUAAACUUCUUUUGUCAGGGAAGAGUAGAAGACGGUACCUGACGAAUAAGCCACGGCUAACGACGUCCCAGCAGCCGCGGUAAUACGUAGGUGGCAAGCGUUGUCCGGAUUUACUGGGUGUAAAGGGCGUGUAGCCGGGUUGACAAGUCAGAUGUGAAAUCCUGCGGCUUAACCGCAGAACUGCAUUUGACACUGUUGAUCUUGAGUACUGGAGUGGCAGACGGAAUUCCUAGUGUAGCGGUGACAUGCGCAGAUAGUAGGAGGAACACCAGUGGCGAAGGCGGUCUGCUGGACAGCAACUGACGGUGAGGCGCGAAAGCGUGGGGAGCAAACAGGAUUAGAUACCCUUGUAGUC